GCAGUCGUGGCUGAGUGGUUAAGGCAAUAGCCUAGAAAUCCAUUGGGGUCUCCCCGCACAGGUUCAAAUCCUGCUGACUGCG
rnacentral:tRNA from 1 species